rnacentral:rRNA from 1 species
UACGUAGGGUGCAAGCGUUGUCCGGAAUUAUUGGGCGUAAAGAGCUCGUAGGCGGUCUGUCGCGUCUGCUGUGAAAACUCGGGGCUUAACCCCGGGCCUGCAGUGGGUACGGGCAGACUAGAGUGCGGUAGGGGAGAACUGGAAUUCCUGGUGUAGCGGUGAAAUGCGCAGAUAUCAGGAGGAACACCGAUGGCGAAGGCAGGUCUCUGGGCCACUACUGACGCUGAGAAGCGAAAGCAUGGGGAGCGAACAGG